rnacentral:rRNA from 1 species
UGAUGACGAGACGCUAAGGCGUUGAAGCAGUGUAUGUCAGACUUCCAAGAAAAGCUCGCAAUGUCACAAAUAAAAAGUGCCUGUACCAUAACCGACACAGGUGGGUAGGUAGAGUAUACUAAGGGGCGCGAGAUAACUCUCUCUAAGGAACUCGGCAAAAUGACUCCGUAACUUCGGGAGAAGGAGUGCCUUAUUUAUAAGGUUGCAAUAACAAGAUCCAAGCAACUGUUUAUCAAAAACACAGGUCUCCGCUAAGUCGUAAGACGAUGUAUGGGGGCUGACGCCUGCCCAGUGCCAGAAGGUUAAAGAAGUUGGUUAGUGUAUGCGAAGCUGAUGACUGAAGCCCUGGUGAACGGCGGCCGUAACUAUAACGGUCCUAAGGUAGCGAAACUCCUUGUCGGGUAAGUUCCGACCCGCACGAAAGGCGUAAUGAUUUGGAUACUGUCUCGGAGAGAGGCUCGGUGAAAUAGACUUGUCUGUGAAGAUGCGGACUACCUGCACCAGGACAGAAAGACCCUAUGAAGCUUUACUGUAACUUGAAAUUGGAAUUGGACUUUGCUUGCGCAGUAUAGGUGGGAAGCGUUGAAAAUAUUCUUGCGGGAGUAUUGGAGCUAUCAGUGAGAUACCACUCUUGUAAUGUUAGAUUUCUAACUUUGAACCAUAAUCUGGUCAAAGAACAGUUUCAGGUGGGCAGUUUGACUGGGGCGGUCGCCUCCCAAAUGGUAACGGAGGCGUACAAAGGUUUCCUCUGAACGGAUAGAAAUCGUAUCUAGAGUGUAAAGGCAUAAGGAAGCUUGACUGUGAGACCUACAAGUCGAGCAGGGACGAAAGUCGGUCUUAGUGAUCUGACGGUACUGAGUGGAAAGGCCGUCACUCAACGGAUAAAAGUUACUCUAGGAUAACAGGCUGAUCUCCCCCAAGAGUUCACAUCGACGGGGAGGUUUGGCACCUCGAUGUCGGCUCAUCGCAUCCUGGGGCGGUAGUACGUCCCAAGGGUUGGGCUGUUCGCCCAUGAAAGCGGUACGCGAGCUGGGUUCAGAACGUCGUGAGACAGUUCGGUCCAUAUCCGGUGUAGGCGCUAGAAUAUUGAGAGGAGCCUUCUUUAGUACGAGAGGACCGAGAAGGACACACCGCUGGUGUACCAGUUAUCGUGCCAACGGUAAACGCUGGGUAGCUAUGUGUGGAGUGGAUAACCGCUGAAAGCAUCUAAGUGGGAAGCCACCUCGAGAUGAGUAUUCCC